AUGAUUUUUCCUACAAUCCAUGGCAAGCUAGAUAUGGACGUAUGGGUUCAUCUUGAGAUGAAAUAUUCCUACAAUCCAUGGCAAGCUAGAUAUGGACGUAGUUUAGUGCUCAACAAGGAUUGUAUAAGGAUGGAAAACGCACAUUUAAGACAGUGUUCUUAUUUUGUAUUCUUCCUUAGCAAGCACUUCUUCUUAAUCCUUCUCUUUCUCUUUCUCCCCCUUGUCAUGAUAAUAUCUUUAGUCAUCUUUGCAAGAGCUGCUAACAAAAAGUUGAACAUCUUAGCAGGCUCGUAUACCCUAAGUGGAAUAUCUAUGCCGUUCUGA
rnacentral:rRNA from 1 species